UAAUCUGUUUGGGACAUAUCCUCAUUUAGUUAUGAUAGAGCCACACUUUGCUAUUUAGAAUCACCCGUUAUCGCAAGCCCGGCAACAUCAUUGACAUUGAAAAACAGAGGACAACUAAUGUGUGAACAAUAAA
rnacentral:pre_miRNA from 13 species